rnacentral:snRNA from 1 species
AUCACUCAUUCUGUGAAGAGUUAAACCAAACAUGUAUCUAGUCAUGUUCUUAUCAGUGUAAUUACUGGUAUUAAUCAAUUAAUUACUCUCAUCUUUGAAAUGCCCUCCUCCUUUCCCCUGGCUUGCCAGAUUGGAGCAGACGAUGGCCGUGGGCUCUCACUAUUCCCUCGUGCUGUCAGGCAAU